AGCUUUGCGCAGUGGCAGUAUCGUAGCCAAUGAGGUUUAUCCGAGGCGCGAUUAUUGCUAAUAAAAGCACCAAAUAUCAUGCAAAAUUAUUAUCCUUCAAGAGGAUAAUAAUAAUUUUCUACAAAGGCACACUUCCU